rnacentral:rRNA from 1 species
ACGUAGGUGGCAAGCGUUGUCCGGAUUUACUGGGCGUAAAGAGCGCGCAGGCGGUUCUUCAAGUCACGUGUGAAAUCCCCCGGCUCAACUGGGGAGGGUCCCGUGAUACUGAAAGACCUGAAGGCGGGAGAGGGUAGUGGAAUAUCCGGUGUAGGGGUGAAAUGCGUAGAUAUCGGGUGGAACACCAGUGGCGAAGGCGACUACCUGGCCUGUUCAUGACGCUGAGGCGCGAAAGCCAGGGAAGCAAGCGG